rnacentral:rRNA from 1 species
UACGGGGGGGGCGAGCGUUGUCCGAAUUUAUUGGGCGUAAAGCGCGUGUAGGCGGACUAUCAAGCCUGGGGUGAAAGGUUGGGGCUCAACCCCAAGAGUGCCCUGGGGACUGGUAGUCUGGAGGCAGGCAGAGGAGAGUGGAAUUCCUGGUGUAGCGGUGGAAUGCGUAGAGAUCAGGAAGAACACCCAUGGCGAAGGCAGCUCUCUGGGCCUGUACUGACGCUGAGACGCGAAAGCGUGGGGAGCGAACGGG